rnacentral:lncRNA from 1 species
AAGAAAAUCGUGAAAGAUAAUUUGUGAGGGAGUAACACUUUCGUUUGGAUAGAAGUACAUGCAAAAUUUCUACAUUGAGAUAGCUUCCAUUUAUUUCUGUUCAGACUGUUCCAACUCUAUCACAGCACUGUUGAAAAAGAAAAUAAGCUCCAUUAAAGCAGAGGAUUUUUUCCAUAGAGUGAGAGAGCUGUGACUGUUGUCUACGUAUUGGUGGCGCGCUAUCAGAUUUCUGUCCGCUAUUUCCUCAAGACUUGGUCUCCUCCUUAAUAAACUGACAUCUGGUUUUAUCUCCCUAAUCUCAUUUCCACUUUUCAUCUUUUUUUCCUGCAAAUCUGACCAUUAAUUUCAAUUCCACUGCCACAUCCCAUUUACAGAUUCUUGUUUUCCGCUUAAGGUUGGUUUUAACAGUUCUUGAAUGAGCAUUAUCUCAUAUUUUGUUCACUGCUUUUUCAUUUCCGAGAAUGUGAACUCAACCCC